GGAUGGGAGGGCUAUCUGGCUGUACCAUCUACCACCCCAUUGAUUGCCAGGGUUAAUUCAGCUGAUCUGGCUGGCUAAGCUGGUGUUGCCUUCCUCUUUCACCACUCCAUGUGCAUUCCUCCCAAAGCUGUGUGCUCGGUUGAAGAGCACGACCACUCCUGAUACAGGAGGACUUUUUCCUUGGUUAAGAAUAUUGAAGUAGCUGCUAGAACCACCAAGAAAGCUCUCAAGAACAGAGGGGUUUAAUAUUGGCAGAGGGGUCUGCUAUU
rnacentral:snRNA from 1 species